AGAAUCAACGCUGGCGGCGUGCCUAACACAUGCAAGUCGAACGAGAAAGUGGAGCAAUCCAUGAGUACAGUGGCGCACGGGUGAAUAACACGUGACUAACCUACCCUUGAGUGGGGAAUAACCUGGAGAAAUCUAGGCUAAUACCGCAUAACACCUACGGGUCAAAGGAGCAAUUCGCUUAAGGAGGGGGUCGCGGCAGAUUAGCUAGUUGGCGGGGUAAUGGCCCACCAAGGCAGUGAUCUGUAUCCGGCCUGAGAGGGCGCACGGACACACUGGAACUGAAACACGGUCCAGACUCCUACGGGAGGCAGCAGUGGGGAAUUUUGCGCAAUGGGGGAAACCCUGACGCAGCAACGCCGCGUGGAGGAUGAAGUCCCUUGGGACGUAAACUCCUUUCGACCGGGAAGAUAAUGACGGUACCGGAAGAAGAAGCCCCGGCUAACUCGCGCCAGCAGCCGC
rnacentral:rRNA from 1 species